CGUUCGCUCGAGCAGUCGAUCGCGACGCGAGCAGAGGAACCUGCUCAGGUGUGACUCGCGGUUUUCCCGUGCGAGUGCAAUGCGAGCUGCUGUACCGUGUGCUUCGUAAACACGUGUUAAGUUCCUACCAAAUUACUAGAGCGGAUACCCUUUACUUUUGCACGCUGGUGAAUCGUCUCGAUACUUCGAGACUUUCCCUCUCGAUACUUCGAGUACAAAGAAGGCAGUGAUGUAUCGCUUCAGGUACAAAACGUUUGUGUUCGCUGUUAUCUGCGGACUGGUCGUCGCAAAGAACGACGACCCGAAGUUCCAUGGUGACCCUGACAGCUUGGUGUUCCCUGGUCCCAUCGCUAGAAGCAAUGGGAAGUCGAGACCUGGCGUGCCACCAGAACUCCCCAGCGACAACCAACUGACGAAAUCGCUGGAGUUGGCGUCGAGACUCAAUUCUAUUACGUCGGUUGAUGAGUUUCUUAAACUUGUCCAUGGUGUUCCUGAGACAGAGUUCUCUAUUACUGGUAGGAUGGGAGAGGCCGGUGAACGCUCGAACGCUGAAAAACCGACUGCAGCCACAUGUAUGCCAGAAUUACAGACAGUUCCUCUGAAACAAGACGACGAUCCUUCCACGUUUUAUUUCCCUUCCUGCACCAGGGUCAAGAGAUGCGGUGGUUGUUGCAACCACUCGUUGUUCUCCUGCCAACCAACCGCGGUGGAUACCAGAAAUUUCGAGGUGGUCGUGACGGCGAUCGAACCUAUCGGACUGGCUUACAAAGGCAAACGAAUCGUGCCGCUGGAGGAGCACACGAAAUGCGAGUGCGGCUGCAAAAUUAAGGAGGAGCACUGCAACGAAAAGCAACUGUACAUCCCAGAGGAAUGCAGAUGUAUGUGCAACAACGUCGACGAAGAGGAGAAAUGCUACAAGAACAGCGAGACGAAGAUUUGGAAUCCAGAACAUUGUGCCUGUUUCUGCAGGGAAGCGCAAGAAUGUUCCACUGGCUUUUACUUCGACCAGAACACGUGCAGGUGUGAGCGGAAUCAAUAGGAGCACUACUAGAGGAAUAACACAACUCUAUUCUCUCACUGCACCCCACUUUCUUAAAUAUCUUGUGCCGACAAGUACCACUCUCCAUGAAUUGGUUCCCAGCCACGAAGGGUGCUGAUUAUGGUUUUGGUCAAACACAAAGGACAGACAAUGUACCACCGGUAAUAAUAGCAUUAGACGCAACAGAUCCUAGAAGAAAGCCUAAGAAAGACCCAGAAUACAAAUAAGGAAUAUUUGUACGAUAAAACACAAGACUCGUAAAGACAGCUAUUUAAAGGAACAUGCUUGCGAUUCAACCCUCUACCUGUGUGCCAUUUAAUUACAAUAUAAAAUAUGUAAUUAUAGUAUUUAUAUGAUAGUAUUAAUUCAACAUUGCAGGAUAUAAGUGAAUGUAUUUUUAUAUAUCAAAAGACUUUGUGAUAUGAGGAAAUACAAUUAUUUAAGAUA